GUCUGUAGCCAUAACACCCUGAAUGCACCUGAUAGCUAAGCAGGGUCUGGCCUGGUUAGUACUUGAAUGGAAGAAAACAGGUGCUUAAAUU
rnacentral:rRNA from 1 species